UGUGUUUUUUGCUGAUACUUGAUAAAUUUUGUGAAAUUUUAUAGUGGUUUUGUGUUAUUUGUUUAAUUGAUAUUAAUUUAAAAGUAUACUUUAGAUUAAUUACAAAAGUUAUGUUUUAUUUGUAUAAUAAAAGUGUUAACAGUGUUUUUAAUGAAAAUAAUAUACUUUUUGUAAAUCAAAAUAAAGUGCUAACGAAAUCCCCUUAGUGUUUGUGUUGUGGGAAAAGCCUAAUUAUGAUUCCUAACUCAAGGAGUUGAAAAUAGCAAGAAUUGUUUAAAAAAUUUAUGAAAGCAGUCAUGAGGAAACGACUUCGUAUUCAUUAUUACAACCCAUGAAAUUGGAACAGAAAAAAACAAAUUAUGAUAAUCUUAAUGUAAGUUUUACUCGCAGUGUUCGUGGUAAUAAUUUACUAACAAUAAAUGGUAAAAAUUAUACCCUUAAUCGACGCAUAAAAGAUGCCUGCUAUUGGGAAUGUGUAAAAGUACGUUGCAAAUAUACAAAAUGUUCCGCCAGAGUUAUAACAAAAUAUAAUCGUAUAGCCUCCUUAAGAGGUCAACAUAAUCACAAUUAAAUUUAAAAGAAAAAUAAAUUUAAGUAAUUUUUUUUUUUUAAGCUAAAAUGCAAUAAAGUACAAUUAUGUUUAAUUUAACUAAGGACCACACAUCGUAUACAUAGGUUUAAUGUAAAACGUAAAAUUAAAUUUAAGCUUUAUUAGUUAUAUACUGAUUUUGAUUUAAACUUUCUUUUAGAAAUAUAUAAAGAUUUCAAGCCUCUUACUGGAGUGUGGCUAAAUGAGAAGUACACUUUUGUUAGAAAUAGACGAGGCGGUAUGAAUUUAAUUUAUGAAGGUUUUCUUUAUACUGCUGAACAUGUCCAGCCAGAUGUGUAACAGCUGGAGAAAAUGCCAUUAAGUUUGGACAUAAAAAACACAAUCAUGCCGCAGUUUGGGCUAAUAAAGAUAAAUAAUUUAAUUAAACAUCUGCUAAAUGUAGACGUCCCAAAAAU